rnacentral:rRNA from 1 species
UACGUAGGGUGCAAGCGUUGUCCGGAAUUAUUGGGCGUAAAGAGCGUGUAGGCGGCCCGAUUAGUCUGCUGUGAAAGUCCAGGGCUCAACCCUGGAAUGCCGGUGGAUACUGUCGGGCUGGAGUCCGGAAGAGGCGAGUGGAAUUCCUGGUGUAGCGGUGAAAUGCGCAGAUAUCAGGAGGAACACCAAUGGCGAAGGCAGCUCGCUGGGACGGUACUGACGCUGAGACGCGAAAGCGUGGGGAGCAAACAGG